rnacentral:piRNA from 1 species
UAAAACUGUCGGGAGCCCUUUGCCA